ACCGAUAAAUAGAUAUAGAUAGACCGUGUCGGCCAUUACCCUCGCUUCCCUCCUCUCCCAUAACCCUAACCCUAGCCCUUCUUCUACGCCUCUACAGUCCUUAUCGACGCCACCCCUCCCCUCUACCUCCUCCCCGCCUGCCGGUUGCGCUGCUGCUUUCCCGUCGAGCUCGUGCGUCAGAUUUGGAAGGACGGGUCGCUCCCAUCGUCCAUGUAGUUGCCUCCUCCGCCUGGGAGGCCCUGGACAGAGGGAGCCAUCUCCGUUGCCUCCCCUACUAUCGAUGCCGCUGUCUCCUGCUCCUCCUCUGUCCAUGCGUCCCCAAGAAGCAAGAUUUGGUGCAAUCAAGUCAAAGAUUCUACAUCAGAUGGUUAUGUUUUUCGUUGCUGUUUUUGAUUUGUUCAGUGUGCAUAAAACAUAAAACAAGAUUUCCAGCUAAUAUUGAUAUAUGUUCCUUUACUUAUCCUAUAUGUUGGUUUUAGUUGCUUCUUUUCUGGUUACUAAUCUAGCUAUUACCACAUGUCUGUUUGUUUUGCACUAAUCCUAUGUGUCUAAUCUCGCCAUUGACUGAAUAAGCCUAUGUUUUGGAUUUGUACUAAUAAUUCUGUCUAAGCCACCACCACGGGAUUGAACUCAUGAGGCUGUGAGGAUCUUGCGAUUUACUGUUUUCUUUAAGAGUGAUUCCUUUCUUAGUUUUUCUUUUAACCUUUCUUAUUAUCACUUUUGUUUCAUGGCUGUAGCACAUAAUGGCAAGUGACUGCAAUUCUGAAAGAUAGUACGAGGGGAUUCUUUGUCACCAUCUUAUUAUUGUGGUAUGUAAGCCAAUUCUUGCACUCAAACCAUGAAAAAUUGUUUCUUUCAGUUGUUUGCUUCGGCUCAUGAAGACAUACUAAUUCUUCCUCUAUGUGGAGAGUGAUUAGACUCUGAGAUAAGAUCGUACUCCAUGCCCAUUUUUGGACCAGCUGGGUUUUCUGAACUGUCUACUGUUUUUGAGCCCAUCACAUGUAUGCAUUGCACGGAACGAAAAUGAGGUUGGUAAUGUUUCCGGUACAUUUAUUGAACUUUGGCUAUACAUAUGUGUUCAGCCAGUGAGUAUAAUGGUGAAGUCAUAACAUCUGAACUUUGGUUAUCGGAAUUAUAAUAGAUUUGUUACUGUCCCAUUUCAGUUUUCUUCUAUUAGAAUAAAGCUAUGCCUACAUUGAGAGUUGUUCACCUUCGCGACAAUGGAUUUAGCUACUUGUUAAAUACUUUACUUUGGUGUAAGCAUACUGAUGAUUAAUGGCCUCUAUCAACUAUAAAGCAGAGGUCUGCAUGGCAUAGUUAUUUUAUUUAUAGUAUUGUAGACAAAAUGCACUAAUUCACUUUAUUACACUAUUUGUUACUUUCUCUUUAUUAUAUCAUCUCUCACACCUUUCUACAUAUUUUUCAGUGGCGUACAUGUUAAAUCUGUCAUGAUCUUACACUGUAUAUUCUUAAUUUAGCGCUAGAGAUGCUGUAUGGAGCUGAUAUUCCUCUCAAACUUCUUUUCUUCAUCAUAUGUAGUCCCAAGAAUCUGGGUUCUAACUCCAUCCUCCUCGGUAGAUGCUUAUUAAUUUCCUUAUGUGAUCGUAACAUGUGUAAAGCUAUUAAGACAACAUUAUUAAUGCACUGUUCUUAAGUACUUCCCUACCAAUA